CUUUUUCCCUUCUUUCCCUUUCGGAUAUCCUCUUUUACCCUGCAAAUAUCACCAUCAGAUUUAACCCAUCCUACACUCCCCCUUUAAGCCACAGAGUAUGAUAUAUACCCAGUUAAUUAAAAUGAAGGCCAAAGGCACCACAGAAAUGUCAAAAAGCUAAAAGAUCCCCAGCCACGUACAAAUCUUGCUCCUCAGGAAAGCUGUAGUGGAGCAGCCCAGCUUGCCUUGCAGAUUCAAAGCACUGUGUGAAAGGUAAGUCAUAGUUGCAAUCCCAACUCCCAAAUGCUGGAACAUGGCUC